rnacentral:rRNA from 1 species
AUAUCAAUAAGCGGAGGAAAAGAAACUAACAAGGAUUCCCCUAGUAACUGCGAGUGAAGCGGGAAAAGCUCAAAUUUAAAAUCUGUCAGUCCUUUGGCUGUCCGAGUUGUAAUCUAGAGAAGUGUUAUCCGCGCUGGACCGUGUACAAGUCUCCUGGAAUGGAGCGUCAUAGAGGGUGAGAAUCCCGUCUUUGACACGGACUGCCAGGGCUUUGUGAUGCGCUCUCAAAGAGUCGAGUUGUUUGGGAAUGCAGCUCAAAAUGGGUGGUAAAUUCCAUCUAAAGCUAAAUAUUGGCGAGAGACCGAUAGCGAACAAGUACCGUGAGGGAAAGAUGAAAAGAACUUUGGAAAGAGAGUUAAACAGUACGUGAAAUUGCUGAAAGGGAAACGCUUGAAGUCAGUCGCGUUGGCCAGGGAUCAACCUUGCUCUUGCUUGGUGUAUUUCCUGGUUGACGGGUCAGCAUCAAUUUUGACUAUUGGAAAAAGAUCAAGGGAAUGUGGCAUCUUUGGAUGUGUUAUAGCCUUUGGUUGCAUACAAUGGUUGGGAUUGAGGAACUCAGCACGCCGCAAGGCCGGGUUUUUUAACCACGUACGUGCUUAGGAUGCUGGCAUAAUGGCUUUAAUCGACCCGUCUUGAAACACGGACCAAGGAGUCUAACAUGCCUGCGAGUGUUUGGGUGGAAAACCCGAGCGCGUAAUGAAAGUGAAAGUUGAGAUCCCUGUCGUCGGGAGCAUCGACGCCCGGACCAGACCUUUUGUGACGGUUCCGCGGUAGAGCAUGUAUGUUGGGACCCGAAAGAUGGUGAACUAUGCCUGAAUAGGGUGAAGCCAGAGGAAACUCUGGUGGAGGCUCGUAGCGAUUCUGACGUGCAAAUCGAUCGUCAAAUUUGGGUAUAGGGGCGAAAGACUAAUCGAACCAUCUAGUAGCUGGUUCUG